rnacentral:rRNA from 1 species
AACGUAGGAGACAAACGUUAUCCGGAGUUACUGGGCGUAAAGGGCGUGUAGGUGGUUUCGUAAGUCUGGCGUGAAAUAUCUCGGCUUAACCGAGGCAGGUCGUCGGAUACUGCAGGACUAGAGGACGGUAGAGGCGUGUGGAAUUCCGGGUGUAGUGGUGAAAUGCGUAGAGAUCCGGAGGAACACCAGUGGCGAAGGCGACACGCUGGGCCGUACCUGACACUGAUGCGCGACAGCAUGGGGAGCAAACAGG